GAUGAAGAACGCAGCGAAAUGCGAUACGUAGUGUGAAUCGCAGAAUUCAGUGAAUCAUCGAAUCUUUGAACGCACAUUGCACCUCUCGGUAUUCCGGGAGGUAUGCCUGUUCGAGCGUCAUUUGUACCCUCAAGCUCUGCUUGGUGUUGGGUGUUUGUUCCGCCUCUGUGUGUGAACUCGCCUCAAAACAAUUGGCAGCCGGCGUACUUGUUUCGGAGCGCAGCACAUUUUGCGAUCCAGAUCAACGUACAGCGGCAUCCAAGAAGCCUUAUUUAACGCUCUUGACCUCGGAUCAGGUAGGGAUACCCGCUGAACUUAAGCAUAUCAAUAGCGGAGGA
rnacentral:misc_RNA from 1 species